rnacentral:rRNA from 1 species
GCCAGACUCCUACGGGAGGCAGCAGUGGGGAAUAUUGCACAAUGGGGGGAACCCUGAUGCAGCGACGCCGCGUGAGCGAUGGAGUACUUCGGUAUGUAAAGCUCUGUCAGCAGGGAAGAGAAUGACGGUACCUGACCAAGAAGCCCCGGCUAAAUACGUGCCAGCAGCCGCGGUAAUACGUAUGGGGCAAGCGUUAUCCGGAUUUACUGGGUGUAAAGGGAGCGUAGGCGGCAGGGCAAGCCUGAUGUGAAAGCCCGGGGCUCAACCCCGGGACUGCAUUGGGAACUGCCCCGCUCGAGUGCCGGAGGGGCAGGCGGAAUUCCUAGUGUAGCGGUGAAAUGCGUAGAUAUUAGGAGGAACACCAGUGGCGAAGGCGGCCUGCUGGACGGUGUACUGACGCUGAGGCUCGAAAGCGUGGGGAGCAAACAGGAUUAGAUACCCUAGUAGG